rnacentral:pre_miRNA from 1 species
AUUAAGAUCGCAACUGACUCAACGUUUAACCGUCCAUCUUAUUUAAAAAAAUAAUUAGUAGUUUUAUUGUUAUAUAAGAUGAUAAAACGUAAAUAGUAAUUUAUAUGUGACUAAUUUAUUUUUUUAUAAAAUUUUCAAAUAAGAUAAGUGAUUAAAUGUUGGGCACGAAAAUCCACCACACACUUAAA